UACAGAGGGUGCGAGCGUUAAUCGGAAUUACUGGGCGUAAAGCGUGCGUAGACGGUUACGUAAGUCGGGUGUGAAAGCCCCGGGCUCAACCUGGGAAUUGCAUUCGAGACUGCGCAGCUAGGGUGCGGAAGAGGGAAGCGGAAUUUCCGGUGUAGCGGUGAAAUGCGUAGAUAUCGGAAGGAACAUCAGUGGCGAAAGCGGCUUCCUGGUCCAGCACCGACGUCAGGCACGAAAGCGUGGGGAGCAAAC
rnacentral:rRNA from 1 species